rnacentral:rRNA from 1 species
GACGAACGCUGGCGGCGUGCCUAAUACAUGCAAGUCGAACGCUGAAGGAGGAGCUUGCUUCUCUGGAUGAGUUGCGAACGGGUGAGUAACGCGUAGGUAACCUGCCUGUUAGCGGGGGAUAACUAUUGGAAACGAUAGCUAAUACCGCAUAAGAGUUGCUGUUGCAUGACAUUUGCUUAAAAGGUGCAAUUGCAUCACUACCAGAUGGACCUGCGUUGUAUUAGCUAGUUGGUGGGGUAACGGCUCACCAAGGCGACGAUACAUAGCCGACCGGAGAGGGGGAUCGGCCACACUGGGACUGAGACACGGCCCAGACGCCUACGGGAGGCAGCAGUAGGGAAUCUUCGGCAAGGGGCGGAAGUCUGACCGAGCAACGCCGCGGGAGUGAAGAAGGGUUUCGGAUCGUAAAGCUCUGUUGUAAGAGAAGAACGAGUGUGAGAGUGGAAAGUUCACACUGUGACGGUAGCUGACCAGAAAGGGACGGCUAACUACGUG